CUAGUGCCCAUGCCGCCUGUGAGAAGUAGUCCCGUCGGGAGGGCCGUCGAAGCCCCUGAGGAGGCGCAGGUUUUGGCAGCCAGUGACGUGGGGCACCCAGCAAACACUCCGGGAAUUGACGACUAUGGAGGAAGCAGCCCCUUUUCAGAUGCAGCUGAGCGGGAUUUGUGGAACGAGCUCCAGAACGCGUUGGACAGAUUUGAAGG